GCCCACGUAGCUCAGAUGGACAGAGCGGCCGACUUCUAAUCGGCAGGCCGCCGGUUCGAUCCCGGCCGUGGGCUCCA
rnacentral:tRNA from 1 species